GACGAACGCUGGCGGCGUGCUUAACACAUGCAAGUCGAACGGAAAGGCCCUGCUUUUGUGGGGUGCUCGAGUGGCGAACGGGUGAGUAACACGUGAGUAACCUGCCCUUGACUUUGGGAUAACUUCAGGAAACUGGGGCUAAUACCGGAUAGGAGCUCCUGCUGCAUGGUGGGGGUUGGAAAGUUUCGGCGGUUGGGGAUGGACUCGCGGCUUAUCAGCUUGUUGGUGGGGUAGUGGCUUACCAAGGCUUUGACGGGUAGCCGGCCUGAGAGGGUGACCGGCCACAUUGGGACUGAGAUACGGCCCAGACUCCUACGGGAGGCAGCAGUGGGGAAUAUUGCACAAUGGGCGGAAGCCUGAUGCAGCAACGCCGCGUGCGGGAUGACGGCCUUCGGGUUGUAAACCGCUUUCGCCUGUGACGAAGCGUGAGUGACGGUAAUGGGUAAAGAAGCACCGGCUAACUACGUGCCAGCAGCCGCGGUGAUACGUAGGGUGCGAGCGUUGUCCGGAUUUAUUGGGCGUAAAGGGCUCGUAGGUGGUUGAUCGCGUCGGAAGUGUAAUCUUGGGGCUUAACCCUGAGCGUGCUUUCGAUACGGGUUGACUUGAGGAAGGUAGGGGAGAAUGGAAUUCCUGGUGGAGCGGUGGAAUGCGCAGAUAUCAGGAAGAACACCAGUGGCGAAGGCGGUUCUCUGGGCCUUUCCUGACGCUGAGGAGCGAAAGCGUGGGGAGCGAACAGGCUUAGAUACCCUGGUAGUCCACGCUGUAAACGGUGGGUACUAGGUGUGGGGUCCAUUCCACGGGUUCCGUGCCGUAGCUAACGCUUUAAGUACCCCGCCUGGGGAGUACGGCCGCAAGGCUAAAACUCAAAGGAAUUGACGGGGCCCCGCACAAGCGGCGGAGCAUGCGGAUUAAUUCGAUGCAACGCGUAGAACCUUACCUGGGUUUGACAUGGAUCGGGAGUGCUCAGAGAUGGGUGUGCCUCUUUUGGGGUCGGUUCACAGGUGGUGCAUGGCUGUCGUCAGCUCGUGUCGUGAGAUGUUGGGUUAAGUCCCGCAACGAGCGCAACCCUUGUUCACUGUUGCCAGCACGUUAUGGUGGGGACUCAGUGGAGACCGCCGGGGUCAACUCGGAGGAAGGUGGGGAUGACGUCAAGUCAUCAUGCCCCUUAUGUCCAGGGCUUCACGCAUGCUACAAUGGCUGGUACAGAGAGUGGCGAGCCUGUGAGGGUGAGCGAAUCUCGGAAAGCCGGUCUCAGUUCGGAUUGGAGUCUGCAGCUCGACCUCAUGAAGUCGGAGUCGCUAGUAAUCGCAGAUCAGCAACGCUGCGGUGAAUACGUUCCCGGG
rnacentral:rRNA from 1 species